AGGAGUUGAACGUUGGCUUAUAUAUGAUGUGGUCAAUAUCUUGGAGAGCAUCGGGGAUACACCCACUUUCUUCUGAAAAAAGAAGAAGGUUUGAGAGUGGGUUUUGGCAUCUUGAGUAUGUGAUGCAGUUCACACGGGGUACAAUAUGCCCUUCACACAAUUAUGUAUUCUCAUGAAAAUGCUCCGGACAGCGGUCA